rnacentral:rRNA from 1 species
UACAGAGGGUGCGAGCGUUGUCCGGAAUCACUGGGCGUAAAGGGCGCGUAGGUGGCCCGGUCAGUCCGUGGUGAAAGCGCGGGGCUCAACCCCGCGUCGGCCAUGGAUACUGCUGGGCUGGAGCACUGUAGAGGCAGGCGGAAUUCCGGGUGUAGCGGUGGAAUGCGUAGAGAUCCGGAAGAACACCGGUGGCGAAGGCGGCCUGCUGGGCCAGUUGCUGACACUGAGGCGCGAACGC